AUAUCAAGCACUGGAAGAAGAUUUUUGGGGGGAGAACAGACACCCAACAGAGAGACAAAUCCACCACGAUUAUCAACUUCAUUAAGAUUGACAAAGAAAGGAGAACAUGUCACCAUCAUCAGCCCUUUAUUUAGUUCACGGAAGAGCAUCAAGGGAAAGACCCUCAGACGUGUCAUAACAGGAUAAAUAAGGCUACAGGACUUAUUAGCCCACCCCACCCCACACUGACCAAGGAUCCAGAUGAGUACUGGCAAUUUGGUGAAGGAUUGUUCUUUAUGUACUACACUGCACUGUCACUUC